rnacentral:misc_RNA from 1 species
CGCAGCCGCGCCGCUCGGCAGAAGCAAGAAGAGAGAGAGAGCCGAGGGUCACCGCGUCGGAGCCGAACGAGGAGACGAGGUGGGUCCUGCGGCCGGGGUGCCGCCGCUGUGGAUUCCGCUCGCUCGCCGUCGCCAUGGAACUCAAUUCCGCCCACCGCUAGGCAUUCACGCAUGACCCGCGUCGUGCUCUGCGGGACCCUUGCCCCGACGCCUGAAGAUCUUGCGCCGCCACCCUGCCUGAGCCUUCGUCAACAACCGGAGAGAGAGGGUGGUGGGAAGAACCGCCUGCAUCGUCGUGAUUCCGGUCAAGAACAGGUACCACAAGAUGAGGCACAUGAAGGAUGCUGUGACGAGUUCGUGAGAGGUCUAGACCGUCGUCUC